AAAAUUUUGCAAAAUCAACACAUUGCAGGAGCGAUGUAGGCCU
rnacentral:ncRNA from 1 species